rnacentral:lncRNA from 1 species
UGCAACCCACGCUUCGAGGGCCUUGCGCAUUGCAGAGGACACGGCAGCCUGCUCAUCACGCUCAACUACACCUCCUGCGAGAGCUUUGGCCACCUUGGGAGGCAGGAUCUAGGCUGUCCCACGCGCCGGGUCCCGUUGGCGCCGGGGCCUCCUGGGACGGCCUGGCCGCGGCCUGCGGGUGGCCCGCGCGGCUCCAGGUGGCGGGAGGCGGCGGUUGGCGGGAAGGGCCGCGCGGGCCCGGGGGCGGCGCCUCAGGUGCGCUCUUUCCAGAAAGGCAGCACACGCAUGUCUCUGCCGUGGCCCCAGAUCCUCCCCGCGCCGCCGUUUUGAGCGUUCACACUCAUUACCCAGGUCCGUCUGGGAGACCCGCCGGGCUCCCGCCCUCCCGGCCCGCAGCCUCCUGGCCAAAAUCCUCCCGGGACACCCCACCUGGACUGCUGCGAACGGGCCUCCACCCGCCUCCCCGGACCCGCAGCGCCCCCCGCUCCCUCAGGGUUCUGGGGUGAAGGGGUCUGAAUAGCACCAGGGGAGGCGGCAGGGCGGGCCUGUCCUACCUGCGCCCGAGCACUGCUGAGACGACAUCCCUUCCAGCGCCGCCACGUAGUCCAGCCCCAGCCAGCCGCGGUCCUGGAAGCACCGCAGGCAGACGACCUGCUCCUCACUGGGCUCAGGCAGGGUCACCCGCCCAGUGCCGCUAGCUGCAAAUUGCUUUACAUACAGUGACCCAAAGAGCAAGUCAUUUCAGGGCCCCACCACUCUGAUUGGAAGUCAUAAGCUUGACAACUGAUUGGCCUCUGUCACCCAAGCGGGUGUGGGGACACUAGGCCCGCAGGUGCCACUGGAAGAGGCGUUCAGAAGCACUGCGGUGCUCCAGCUCCUGGAUGCAGGUAUCUCCCCACAAACCUAAACAAUUUCGAGAGGGACUUGUGUUCUGCAACCAGUCACAGAAUAUCAGGUGAGCUGGGCGUGUCUUCACUGACCCACCCGCCCAGGGAUGCUGCACUCCUCUCCACCCUGCUCAGAAUCACUAGAAUGACCGUUCUGUGGCUACAGCCCUAAAAGAGCUACUAAAAAGACCAGAAGUAGUAUGAGAACUUAUGAAUACGAAUAUAAAUAAAGGACAUCUGGAGAACAUGCAU